rnacentral:lncRNA from 1 species
UAUCUCGUCAAAUCCCAUUGUCCGUCAUAUAUCAAAUUUAUAUGACUUCCAGUUCGAGAUAUGAAAAACUCUUUUUCCAAAAUACCUGGCCAGAAAUUUAUCGAACUUAGUCUCAUAAAUCACAUAGGAUCACUCAUAAGCUAUCAAGAUCGAUAGAUCCCAUCUAGAUUCAAUCCUAUUCCAAAAUGAACCUACUGUAGCCAAUCCGCACUACAAGGAUCCGAAUGGCUAGG